GCUGCGGUGGCCUAGUGAUAAGAGUGUCCGAUUCCGAUACGGGAGGUCACGGGUUGGAUCACCGGCUGUGGCG